UACAGCUCCAUUACUGGAAUGGUCUGGUCUGUACCAGGAGAGAUGCUUUGCAUGGGUUGACAACAACCGUGUCAAAGGGUGAGCAGUGUAUGAGCACAGAUACCAAUCUAGGGACGCCUGCUUUUAAAUACCUUUUGUUUCAGAUGGACUCCUUCCUCAACUCCCCUCAACUGACAGGGAGAUUGUUCCAACACAAGGAUUUGCUGGUCUUCAGACUUCUACCAAGUUUUGCCUUAAGUUUCAAUCCAGAAAAUACUAGUCCUGUGGUAUUUUCAAGGCCAGGCCUAUUUCUGAUAUCACAUGAGCAAGAUGCCAGAACAAGAAAAUCUUGCAUCAGCUGAGGUGGUUCAGUGACUUGGGAUUUGAUUUGAAAAAUCUUAUUGGCCAGCUUCAGUAACUGAAGGAUGAGUUUCUGAUAAGAGUUGGAUGUUGUUCACAAUCCCUUGAAAUAUCCACCCAGUGAGAAGCAGUGAUUUCCAGCAAGACAUUUAAAUUUCACUGGUACUGUCCUGCUGUUUCAGAACAGUGAACCAAGGGAGUGUU